GGUUCUGUUGUGUAGUGGUUAUCACGUCUGCUUCACACGCGGAAGGCCGCUGGUUCGAUCCCGGCCAGGACCU
rnacentral:tRNA from 1 species